rnacentral:lncRNA from 1 species
AUCGAGUAAAAGAAUCCCUUGGAAAAUUUGUUUCAAAUGCAAAUUCCUGAAGUCAGCUCCAGAGAUUCUGUUUCAAGUUUUUCCUCAGAUUAUCACAGAAUACUGAGUACAGUUCCUUGUGCUAUAUACCAGGUGUCCAUUGGCCAAUCACUCCAUAUACCUCAAUGUGCAUAUGUCAGUCUCAGACCUCCAGUCCAUCCCUCCCUGCCACCUGCUCCCUUUGGUAAUGGUAAGUUUGUCUUCAAAGCCUGUGCAUCUGUUUCUCUUCUGCAAAUAAGUUCAUUUGUAUCCAUUUUUUAGAUUCACAUAUAAGUGAUAUCAUAAGAUGUCUCUCUUUCACUGUCUGGCUAACUUAGUAUGAUAAUCUCUAAAUCCAUCCAUGUUGCUGCAAAUGGCAUUAUUUCAUUAUUUUUAAUGCUUAAUUAAUAGUCCAUUGUAUAUAUGUACCACGUCUUCUUUAUCCAUUCCUUUGUCAAUGGACAAUUUACAAUAGCCAAGACAUGUAAGCAACCCAAAGUAUUCUUUUUAGCAAAGGAUAAUGUGUAGUGGUUAUCAAAUUUGGCUAUGGUUGCUAUAGAUCCUAAGAAUUCUGAAAUAAAAAUAUAAGUUAUCUCCACUGACCCCAUGCCACACACCCAAUUUAUAAAUGAUGGGAUAAAGAUAGGAUAAGAGCAAUGGAACCCCAUCUGUGGUGAUAUAAAAUAAAAGACACUGGUGCAUACCUUUUCUGAAAUCCCAAUGGCAGAUCUGGUGAGUGACUUAGGCUCUGGGAGUGAGGACUGCUCAUUAAUAAGGCCCUGAAAAUACUCUUUAAGAGAUCCUUUGCUCAUGGUUGUCCAUGGCCCUAAGCUCUGUCCACCUGAAGGGUCUUCCUUUUCUAUUACAGUGCUUGGCCAAAUCUGAAAUGGGCAUUGGAAGAAUAUGCUGAUACUCGGAUCUUUGUAUAUUAACGGAUCACUGUCUGUGUGUGGGUAUCUGGGUGACCAAGAGUCAUCGUAAGUCUCAAAUCAUCACAAACUCCUGUAUCUUUUAUCAGUACAGCUCUCUCAGAAAUUUAAUAGGAUUUUCAUCUGUUCGAUUCUAGCAAUCAGUUUUCCAGUAGCCACACUCUUCAUUCUUAAAAAGUUUCCCCAAACUCUAUGUGGACAAAACUGAUAAACUGUAUUUUUUUUUUUUUUUGACUUUUUGACUAACGGAAGGCACUUUAAGUCUAUCAGCUUUGGUACAGUAAAUCUACAUCUUACCUUCUUUAUACUGAGUCAUUUCUUCCAGUUGAAAAGUUACUAUGUCAGGAUUCCCACUUCUGGCCAUGAUGGAGAAACAUGGACCCAAUUUAAUAUCCUGCGUUAUACAACUAAAAAGCUGGUAAAACAUGUAAUUGUUUUCACACAUUGGGUAUAAGACAGUAUAGGAUUGUGAUCACUGAGAAAUAGGAAACAAAUGCAUAGGGUUCUAGGAUGCCCUAGUUUUCUAUCUGGAGGCACAUUUGGACCAGUGGGUUAGGGUUAGGGUUAGGGUUAGGGUUAGGGUUAGGGUUAGGGUUAGGGUUAGGGAAGAGGAUGCCAAACAGAGCUGUGGUUGCCUCAGUGAACUGAGAAGGCAAGAGGAUGCCAAACAGAGCUGUGGUUGCCUCAGUGAACUGAGAAGGCAAAGGUAAAAGUUUGGAGUGUCUGAGGUAGCUAGAAUUUGUGGAAAAGAGUUACAGAGAAGAGAAAGUAUCACAGAAAAGACCUCCAGAAAUCUUUGAGUUCCCUCGACUUUAGCUGAAUAACAAACUUUUGGUACAUAGAAUGAAAUUCUAUCAGUUUAGGCCAAAGAACAUCUGGGUAGCCAUGAGCUGAACAGUACCCAGAACUAACCCGUGGCCACAGUAAACUUCUUAGUAAUCACUCAGUGGAGACUAAGAAGGACCAUAGCUUAGUCAUCGGGCUAAGCUAGACCUAAGAGUAAAGGCUAAUCUGGACCCUCGCAAAACGAAAACAAAGGGUGAAAGGAUCAGACCUAAGAGCAAGUAACUUAAUUUAGGAUAGGACAAAGCCCAGACUCCUUAAAGGAAGACAACAAAAUCAAGAUUCUCAACAAUAUAAAUAUAUAUUUUAUCCUGAUACCCAGGAUAAAAUAUAAUGACUACAUAAAAAAAUUAGGAAAAUGAGACCUAUAAUUAGAGCAAAAAUCAGUCAAUAGAAACAGGCCCAGCAGCCAAUAAAUAUCAGUAGAGAAAAUGCUGUCUUUUAAACAAACCGUGCUGGGUCUGUAAAAACAUAAGGAAAAAAAUGAAUGUUGACUUUUACUUCAUGUUGUACACAAAAAUUAACUUGAAAUGUAUAAGUCAAUGAAACAUAAAUGCUAAAGCUAGAAGAACAAGUAGAUAAAAUACCCUUAUGACUUUGGGUAAGCAAAGUUUUUUGUUAGUAUCGAAAGCAUAAAAGUCACUGAUAUGUUGGAGUUUAUCAUUAUUAAAACAGCCACUCUUGGAGUGCUCGUUGUAGCCCAGCAAUAAUGAACCCAACUAGUAUCCAUGUGGAUGAAGGUUCAAUCCCUGGCCUUACUCAGUGGGUUAAAGAUCCAGUGUUGCAGACAUUCUUUAUAUUCUCAACAAUAUAAACUUCAUGAUAUCCAGGAUGUACUGUGGCUCAUAUAUCGUGGUGCUGUGGCUGUGGGGUAGGCCCGCAGCUGCAGUCCAAUUAGACCCCUAGCCUGGGAAUUUCCAUAUGCCUUGGGUGUGGCCAUAGGAAAAAAAAAGGUGAAAACAGCCACUCUUUGAAAGACAUCAUUAAGAAACUGAAAAUAGAAACUACAGAUUAAAUAAAAAUAUCCAAACAGUACAUAAAAUAGCUUUAAGAGUGAUUUAUAUAUUCUGUAUGGGUAUACAACUCUUAACAAUAUAUGAGAGGACAAAUUGUGCAAUAUAGUAGGAACCGAAGAGUUGAUAGACACAUCACAAAAGAGUGUUUUCAGGUAGUUCCUCCAGUAACUUAGCAGGUUAUGAAUCUGACUAGUAUCCACAAAGAUGUGGGUUCAAUCCCUGGCCUUGCUCGGUGGGCUAAGGAUCUGGCAUUGCAGACAUCCUUCAUGUUCUCAACAGUAUAAAGCUCAUGAUAUCCAGGAUAUAAUGUGGCUCAGAUGCGGUGUUGCUACGGCUAUGAUAUAGGCCUGCGGCUGCAGCUCCAAUCAGACCCCUUGCCUGGGAACUUCUGUAUGCUGAUCCAUGGCCAUAAAAUGCAAAAAAAUUUUUAAAAGUUAAAAAAAAAGUAUAUACAAAUGGUUGCUAAGCACAUGAAACAAUGCUCAAUAACGUUAGUCAACAGAGAAAUGUGAAUUCAACUCACAAUGAGAUAAAACUACACAUUAACUUGAAUCUCUAAAAUUAAGACUGACAACCCCAAAUUCUGAUGAGGAUGUAAAGCAAUUGAAAUUAUUAUGUAUUGCUGGUGGGAAGGUAAAAUGGAACAACCACCUUAAAAAACUGAUUGGGGAGCUCCUGCCAUGGCUCAGUGGUUAACGAAUCCGACUAGGAACCAUGAAGUUGAGGGUUCAAUUCCUGGCCUCGCUCAGUGGGUUAAGGAUCCCAUGUUGCCGUGAGCUGUGGUGUAGGUCGCAGAUGCGGCUCGGAUACCGUGUUCCUGUGGCUGUGGCAUAGGCCAGCGGCAGAUUAGACUCCUAGCCUGGGAACCUCCGUAUGCCGCAGGUGUGGCCCUAGAAAAGAUAAAAAAAAAAAAA